UACGGGGGGGGCAAGCGUUGUUCGGAAUUACUGGGCGUAAAGGCUCGUAGGCGGCCAACUAAGUCAGACGUGAAAUCCCCUCGGCUUAACCCGGGGGAACUGCGUCUGAUACUGGAUGGCUUGAGUGUGGGAGAGGAAUGCGGAAUUCCAGGUGUAGCGGUGAAAUGCGUAGAUAUCUGGAGGAACACCGGUGGCGAAGGCGGCAUUCUGGACCUUCUGACGCUGAGGAGCGAAAAGCCAGGGGGAGCAAACGGG
rnacentral:rRNA from 1 species